UCCUAAAGCCUGUGUCAUAUUAAAACACAGUAACUAUAAAUAAAAUAAAGAAAAUUAAAUGAAAUAAAGUAAGUAUUAUCAUUAACUAUAUGUGUAAAAAGAAGAAGAAGAAGAAGAAGAAGAAGAAGAAGAGAGGAGGUAGAGGACCUUUCAUCUGAAUAAAUGAUGAAAGAGAGAAAGAGAGAGAGGUCCCCCAUUAG
rnacentral:lncRNA from 1 species